UACGUAGGGGGCUAGCGUUGUCCGGAUUUAUUGGGCGUAAAGAGCGUGUAGGCGGCCAGGUAGGUCUGGUGUGAAAACUCGAGGCUUAACCUCGAGAUGUCAUCGGAAACCAUCUGGCUAGAGUCCGGAAGAGGAGAGUGGAAUUCCUGGUGUAGCGGUGAAAUGCGCAGAUAUCAGGAAGAACACCAAUGGCGAAGGCGGCGACCUGGGCCAAUAUUGACGCUGAGGUGCGAAAGCGUGGGGAGCAAACAGG
rnacentral:rRNA from 1 species